rnacentral:siRNA from 1 species
UCGGACCUGGAGGAAUUACGGGA